UACGUAGGGGGCGAGCGUUGUCCGGAUUUAUUGGGCGUAAAGAGCUCGUAGGCGGUUCGGCAAGUCAGAUGUAAAAACUCCAGGCUCAACUUGGAGAGGCCAUCUGAUACUGCCGUGACUAGAGUCCGGUAGAGGAGCACGGAAUUCCCGGUGUAGCGGUGAAAUGCGCAGAUAUCGGGAGGAACACCGGUGGCGAAGGCGGUUCUCUGGGCCGAUACUGACGCUGAGGAGCGAAAGCGUGGGGAGCGAACAGG
rnacentral:rRNA from 1 species